GAAAACUUCAUUCCUGCUGAAAGGCAGAUGUUCUGAGGACUUCAGGAAAUGCAAACAUGGUCCUGAACACAGAUGCUACCAAUCUGUGUGACCUUUGCCCAAGAUGAGAGCAUCCAAGCAGAAGCGGUGCUGCGGGUUAGGGAUGGGGUGAAGAUCCCAUCCCGUUUACAUUAACGAACCCUGCUCUGCUGCCCGGCCAGUCAGACAUCCUUCACACCAGAGUUUCCCAUGGUCACCUGUGGUUUGAAUCACCUGGAGUGAUGACAGUCACUGGGAGAGAGUCCAGGUAUUUGCCUUUGAAGCAAGCACCCCAGGUAGGCACAGCCCAGAUGACAAAUAUAACUGAAACAAUCGAAACAGCAGUCGGGCGGGCUGCUGGGUCCCACCAAAGCAGGCAUGCGCCGCGAACGCCGCUCAGCUGGGAAGACGGCGAGACCUGGGCUGGAAUCCAAGGCUUUGCACUUGCAACUGCCUGAUAUGAGCAAGUUCCUUAACCUUGAGCAAAUUUCCUAAUCUCUCCGAGCUUUAUUUCUCAAAUAUCUUCAAUUCUGAAUAACAGCAUCACCUUUCGAAAUGUUGUGAGUAUUAAGUAUGCCAACGUGUGGUGGCAAAAUCUAUGGUCCAGAGCAGAGCUGUGAAAAUAAAAGCAGUGAGGGGCUCACCUUUGUGUGUUGCCCACUGGUCCGAGGA